AAGCGUCUGUAGNCGGAUGUGUAAGUUGGGCGUGAAAGCUCCGGGCUUAACCCGGAGAGGCCGUUCAACACUGCAUAACUUGAGGGUGUCAGAGGGGANCGGAAUUCCCGGUGUAGCGGUAAAAUGCGCAGAGAUCGGGAGGAACACCAGUGGCGGAGGCGGUUCCCUGGGGCACACCUGACGCUGAGAGACGAAAGCUAGGGGAGCGAACAGGAUUAGAGACCCUGGUAGCCCUAGCCCUAAACGAUGAAUGCUAGGUGUGGGAUCGAAUGGUUCCGUGCCGGAGCGAACGCGAUAAGCAUUCCGCCUGGGGAGUACGGCCGCAAGGUUAAAACUCAAACGAAUUGACGGGGCCCCGCACAAGCAGCGGAGCGUGUGGUUUAAUUCGAUGCUACACGAAGAACCUUACCUGGGUUUGACAUGUAGGUGGUAGUGAAUCGAAAGGUGAACGACCCUUCGGGGAGCCUACACAGGUGCUGCAUGGCUGUCGUCAGCUCGUGCCGUGAGGUGUCGGGUUAAGUCCCGUAACGAGCGCAACCCUUGCUCCUAGUUACAAGUGUCUAGGGGGACUGCCGGCGGAAAGCCGGAGGAAGGUGGGGAUGACGUCAAGUCAGCAUGGCCCUUAUAUCCAGGGCUACACACACGCUACAAUGGUCGGUACAAAGGGCAGCGAAACCGCGAGGCGGAGCGAAUCCGAGAAAAGCCGAUCGUAGUUCGGAUAGCAGGCUGCAACCCGCCUGC
rnacentral:rRNA from 1 species